AAGUAGUGCGAUUCUGUUACUGGACAAAGUUACAAUUUGUGUAAACCAUUCGGCUAAGGUUUUGUUUUGUUUAUAAACUUUAUGAUGUUAUAUGAUGUUUUGGCUAUUUUCUGUAAUUUUUUCAUGAUUUUUAGGCUUGUCUAACUAUUUUUCAAAAAUCAAAUUUCUUGCUACUGUCAAUCUGCCAGAAUUUGGAAAUUGUAUGUUUAUGCAUGUUCUUGUAUUUUCU
rnacentral:misc_RNA from 1 species